CCAUCCCCACCACCACCCUGCGCUGUGCUGCUGCCACUGGCCGCACAGCUAAGUGUGGCUCCGUGGCGGCAGUGGGAGGUUUUGGAGGCAGAGGCAGUCACCGCUGGCACGGUAAUAUGCGAUUUCACUGUACGCGAUUUUCGUAACCCCCGCGUAAGAUGCGGGAUGCCUGUAAUUACUUCGUAUUUUAUGCACCUUCCUUGUCACAGCAGUAAAGGGAAGCAAGUGUGGAGGUAUUCCAGCAUCUUCUGACACGGGAAGCCUGGUGAACUUGUUUGCCUUUUGCUUUCCUCCCCUCCUUUCACAGCGCCCCCCCCAAUACAUCACCUGACACCAUCAUCUCUGCUCAAAGACAUUGUAUGGGACAGUGGUUCAUAAUAAACAAAAAGGUCACAGAUGUCUCUGCUAGAGGGACAGUCCACCAAGGAGCCAAAAAACCUAAGUCUCUAAGAGCUUUCCCAAUAGCAGAAAGUUUUAAGAUUCAGGCAUCUCUAAGGUGUUGUAGAACAACUGUCAUCCAUCCAUCUUUACACUGAACUACUACAAAUUCUGGUUUUCCUAUAUAAGAAUUUAAUAGGUAAGACUGUGCUGACCUGCAGGGAUUCAUAUUUUGAAGCUAUUUCCAGGAAAGCAAGUUCAUCACUAGAGUGAUUCAGUUUGGUGAUACCAUCCACCCCCAAUUUCAGGUAGGAUUUUACCUUCAUGUUCUGGCCAUGGUCAGCAGCCUGAGUCACAUCUGGGAGCGCACAGAAUUUGGUCAGAGUUAGAAAGGCUUUUAAGCUUCAACUUCCCGAAGAGACUGCAAUUGAAUUAGUUCCUUGAGAUUUGUCUCCCCCUGAUAGAGUUGGAAAAUGAAAGCUAUAUAUCGGUAAUAAGUUUAAAAAAGCUGAUGCCCAAACAUCAGAGCAAAGCAGAUUUUCCCUGGGCUGGGCAGAAGAGCACCUUUUGCAUCAGGGUAAUGCACACAAAAAGAUCAGUAGAGGUGAUAGAAGACAAAGUUGUUGACAGGAUACCAACACACUCAGCCAAGGCUUUACUCGGGGAUACAGGCUAUUCCAAGUUGUAUUGCUUCCAUCUGGCCAAAUGCAAAACAGAGCUGAGGCCCCUUGCCAGAAAAGCAGAUGAAAGGUCAUUGAGAACAUGAAUGACAGAAUGCUUCACUGCCUCAUUUUACCUGAUGUGUUAACACCUCCCCCAUCUUUCCCCCCAAAUAAAGCAGAAGAUUAAUAUGGAGAAAUAUCAUUACAAAGAUAGUUCAGGAGCUCAUCUUUUGUCUCCAUCUUAAUUGCCUAGAAAGCAUCUGUAUUGGCUAUAACUGGGUCAAAUUCUGGGUUACUAAGGAUGUUCAGCAAUUAAAACAAUAAUCCCAAAUAUGUCCAGGGCAUAGGUCAGAAUGCAGAAUGGGAACAAUGCUAACUGUCCUUCCUAAAAGUAACAUCUUAGAUCCUAUAUCAAGAUAUUUAUACUAUUGCAUCUGUAAGGCUCAUGUAUGUAAAAUUAAUUAUCUUAAAUCUUACUAUUCUAAUACAUUUUUUUUCUCACAGCUCUGGAAGUGCUUAUCCCUUUAUGAUACUUUGGCAUCAUCCUUCCACCCCACAUGCCAAUCUGAUCUGCCCCUAUGAUUAUGGAAAGAAUGAGACUGCUGGGGGUGUAACUUGAUGCAAGAAGCCAGUCAACACUGCAAAGCUGCCUUGAUUUGUGAUGUGUACAAAUCUUGCUUUUAUGCAAAUUCUGUUGUAAACAUCUGCAGGUUUUUUUGUUCAGGAAGAAAGGACUUUCAAAGAAUGAACAAACAGUGAUUCAAGUCAUCUUUCUCAUUCCUCCUGCAAGAAUAUACCCUGUCUACGUAUAGUAUCUGACACCACCUGCCCAUAACAGUUGCAGAUCAUAUUAGAGUGAAUCAUGGUCUAGCAAUGGCUUGUCAUUGUUUAUUAUUUUGUACUUCAGAUGGUAGGUUUCUAGGCCAAAAGAGCGCUUUAUUAAUCUCAAAAAGGGAAAUUUGAGAACUGGGCUGAAGUGCUCACAAUAAGCAGCCCUGUUUCAGAUCACAUGAACUGACCCCCAUCUGUCCUUCAUAGCAUUUGGUAGACAUAAAAGCUGCUUUAAAUAAUAAUUAGUAUUUUGUUUUUAUUUUGGACUGAACUGUGUG